UAGCACAAAGGAUGUCGUAAAUCAAGGACCAAAGAAUAAGAGGUAGAAAUUAAGCUGGAAAACUCUUCGUUUGGCACAGCCAUAGCGCAGCAGCGCCACCGCCCAGACCCCAAGGACCCCAAAAAAAAAACAUCGCGACAUUCGACGCUGCAGCGCAAAAAAGAGCUAAAAUGGAAGUGUAAGCAGACAUAGAUCGCGACACAUCCAAGUACAAUUCAAUGAGGCGCAAAAAAAUUCUUUCGAAAAACUGCGCAACAUUUUGGCAUCCGAAGAUGUUAUGCUCAAAAAACCCGGAUUACAAGAAGCCAUUCCAUCUAACGACGGAUACUUCAGCCUACGGUAUUGGAGCAGUGCUUUCACAAGAGAACCGUGCUAUUACAAUGAUCUCGAGGACAUUAAAGGAUAGGGAAAGGAACUACGCCACAAAUGAAAGAGAAUUAUUAGCCAUCGUUUGGGCGUUGGCCAAACACAUCAAAGAAAAUGGUGCGAAGGUAGUAUAUAAACUGGGAAAAGAAAAUUUGGUUGCUGGCAAAGGAAGGCAGCAAAUUAACGCCAUAGAAGAACAGGACGCAGAAUCAUGUGUUGCGACUAUUUACAGUGAGAUUUCCCUCACCCACACCAUAGAAUCAACGGAUAAGUCCCUAAACGCUUCCAGAACCGACUAAUUCUAGAAGAGGCCCGCUUUCUGCUAAAACGCUCUUUCGUUCUCCUAAAAAAUAAGAAACGACACGCAAUCAACUUCACCGACAAGAAGUCAUUACUCAAUGACCUUGCGUAUACAAUAGUCCCCAAGGGCGUAAAUUUGAAAAAUGCGUGGCGUUACCCUAUGCGACUGGUGGUAAUGCCAAACCUAGUUCGUUUCUGUUUUGACGCACGCAAACUAAAUGAGGCUACAAAAGAGAUGCCUAUCCGCUGCAAAGCAUCGAAGGCAUAUUAGCCCGUCUGCCAAAGGCAUAUAUAAGUUUGGAAUUGGAUCUCAAAGUUGCUUACUGGCAAAUUGAGGAACAGAGGAAGCGAAACUAUUGAAAGCUUCUACAGUUACUUUUGCGUUACUAUGGUGGUAAGUGGUGGAAUUGCCACGGGUCCAGAUAAAUAUCACCUAUAAUGAAAUGUCCGACAACUUGAAACAAAUGAGAGGUUUCCUCGGUGUAUGUGGUGUAACGUGUAACGAACUAAAGUGAUGGAAGGCGAGAGGACCUGUACUUGCAGGUGCACGCUUUAGACUCCGGCUCUAGCCGGUGGUCUUGAUUGUAGAGAUACCAUUAAUGAAUAAGAUCAAGAAUUGGGCGUGCUUGCAACAACAGAGUAGAGGAGCUAGUAUAUAAAAUCGGAGGAAGAAAAUUAAUAUAUUCGGAAGGAGACAGUUCUAGAAGAGGAGGAAAAGCUUGAGAAUUCGUUGCCUGCAAACCACCGGUGUAAUCGUGUUCGCGGAUUGCCCUACCCUACCUAUGACCACUUUCCUUAAGAGCAUGGCUCUAGUGGCCCUUUGGUACCCUAUGUCCGGAGAAACAUCAGCCGAGUCAGUAUUUAAGUUUUAAGAAAUAAUUAAUAACAAUAUAUAUAUCUAAUAAUAAGUACAUAAUAAAUUAAAUAAGUCCGAAAAUAAAUACAAACUUAAAUAAGUUGAGGAAAUCUAAGGCAAAGGGUUUUUGUUUUUUUGUUGUGAAUUCAAAAAAAAAAAUUAUAAGUUAUUCAAGAAAAUUAUAUUUAAAUGGAUGCGAAGGGCACAGGCUGCUAAAUAUAUAUUUUAGAGGAGGAACACAUUUUUUUGUAGUAGUUCUCUUCUCUAUAUUCUUGUUCCAUUUAUUAUUAUUAUUAUAAUGAAUUAUUAAAGGAAAAAUAUGAAAACUGUGAGAGUGGGUUGCUAGUAAAUUCGGUUAUUUUUACCUUUUAUAUUUAAUUGUCUACUUCCGCAACUCCAUUAGGGACCAAUAAAUUCUUCGUAGUGUAUUCAUUCGAAUUCUUCCUUUUAUUUUACAACAUUUGGAAAUCAAAGUUCAAAAAUCAAUUUAAAAAAUAAUUUAUUAAUGUUUGCUAUUAAUGUUUGUUCGCUAUUAAAUUGAUAACUUAUCGUAAUUUUUCUCAGUGUAUUUCGUUGGCAUCUUCAAAAAAAAAUUUUUUUUAUAAAUAAAACUCAUUCAAAUUUUUCACUCCUCGGCGAAAGAUCGGCGCAGAUGAGCUGAAAUGAAAGCGUAGAAUUUUCCACCAAUAUUUUGAAAAUUUACGAAAACACAGCUGCUCUCACUCGAACUUCGAAUCAAACGACUUAAAAAAAAGUCUGUUACCCGAAAAUUUAAACCAGCACUCUCUGAAAAUGUACUCAUCUUAGAAAAAUAAUUAGAUUAGGUUAGCUUAUAUAAUAAAAAAAUAGUAAUACUAAAAGGAAUUCAAUUUAUAUAAUAAAAUAUACAAAAGUGAUGUUAACGAAGUCUCCUCCUCGGGAACACAUAUUUUUAACUUAUUGUAAAACCUUGUAAUAUAUAAUUUAAAAAUAUAAAUUCAUUUUUCUCAGUGCAGUAUGGUGCUUCGGUGAUUUUUAAUUUUUCCGAUGUAGGGUUAGGUUAGACAGGGUUCAACAAGCAUUUUCAUAUUUAUUUCAGAUUUUCUUCCAUGUUCACUUCAUCUUCAUCUCACUGUGUAUUCUUGACUCCUAAUCCCGCUAAUUAUUCCCGCGCCUUUAACCUCACUUUGGGGUACUCUUUUGCUUUUGAAAAACCAAAUUGGUGCAAUGGGAGUGUGUUGUGUGUUUUGAGGUGGGGGCUGAUGCGUAGCAGCAGCACUUUUCCAAAUAGCUUGGAUAGACAAGAUAGUAAGCUUAUUGGCCUGUAGGAUGAUGGCAGUGUUUUGUCUUUCCCAGGCUUAGGGAUCAUAAUUAUAAUUGUUUUCUUCCACUUUUGAGGGAAGUAUCCAAUUUUAGUAAUUGCGUUGAAGAGCGAGCAGAUUCGUAGAACUGCACACAUUCGGAGCUCGAUUAUAAUUUUCGGGGUUAUUAUGUCGUAGCCACGCGAUUUUCCAGUCUUCAGUUGCUUUUUAAUGACUUUCGUUAUCUCGCUUGGUCGAAAUUCUACAGCAUUUUGUGGUGCUAAGUCAGAUGCAGUUAAAGGCGGGAGAGUAAAAGAGUUAUUGGC